rnacentral:rRNA from 1 species
CCUACGGGAGGCAGCAGUGAGGAAUAUUGGUCAAUGGGAGAGAUCCUGAACCAGCCAAGCCGCGUGAGGGAAGACGGCCCUAUGGGUUGUAAACCUCUUUUGUCGGAGAACAAAACCCGGGACGUGUCCCGGACUGCGUGUAUCCGAAGAAAAAGCCUCGGCUAACUCCGUGCCAGCAGCCGCGGUAAUACGGAGGAUGCGAGCGUUAUCCGGAUUUAUUGGGUUAAAAGGGUGCGUAGGCGGUCCGUUAAGUCAGCGGUAAAAGUGCGGGGCUCAACCCCGUCGAGCCGUUGAAACUGGCAGACUUGAGUUGGCGAGAAGUACGCGGAAUGCGCGGUGUAGCGGUGAAAUGCAUAGAUAUUGCGCAGAACUCCGAUUGCGAAGGCAGCGUACCGGCGCCAGACUGACGCUGAGGCACGAAAGCGUGGGGAUCGAACAGGAUUAGAUACCCGGGUAGUC